UGAUCCUUGGUGUAACGGUAGCACCGCAGACUUUGGUUCUGCUGGCCCCGGUUCGAAUCCGGGAGGGUCAA
rnacentral:tRNA from 1 species